rnacentral:rRNA from 1 species
CAUGCCGCGUGUGUGAAGAAGGCUUAUGGUUGUAAAGCACUUUAAGCGAGGAGGAGGCUACUGAGACUAAUACUCUUGGAUAGUGGACGUUACUCGCAGAAUAAGCACCGGCUAACUCUGUGCCAGCAGCCGCGGUAAUACAGAGGGUGCGAGCGUUAAUCGGAUUUACUGGGCGUAAAGCGUGCGUAGGCGGCUUUUUAAGUCGGAUGUGAAAUCCCCGAGCUUAACUUGGGAAUUGCAUUCGAUACUGGGAAGCUAGAGUAUGGGAGAGGAUGGUAGAAUUCCAGGUGUAGCGGUGAAAUGCGUAGAGAUCUGGANGAAUACCGAUGGCNACCGCNCCAUCUGGCCUAAUACUGACGCUGAGGUACGAAAGCAUGGGGACAAACAGGAUUAGAUACCCUGGUAGUCCAUGCCGUAAACGAUGUCUACUACCGUUGGGGCCUUUGANGCUUUA